ACGUAGGGGGCAAGCGUUGUCCGGAAUUACUGGGCGUAAAGCGUGCGCAGGCGGUUUUUUAAGACAGGCGUGAAAUCCCCGGGCUUAACCUGGGAACUGCGCUUGUGACUGGAAGGCUAGAGUACGGCAGAGGGGGGUGGAAUUCCACGUGUAGCAGUGAAAUGCGUAGAGAUGUGGAGGAACACCGAUGGCGAAGGCAGCCCCCUGGGCCGAUACUGACGCUCAUGCACGAAAGCGUGGGGAGCAAACAGGA
rnacentral:rRNA from 1 species